rnacentral:rRNA from 1 species
CAAUAGCGUAUAUUUAAGUUGUUGCAGUUAAAAAGCUCGUAGUUGGAUUUCGGAUGGGACUUGCCGGUCCGUCGUUUCGAUGUGCACUGGCCAGUCCUAUCUUGUUGUCGGGGACUAGCUCCUGGGCUUCACUGUCCGGGACUAGGAGCUGACGAGGUUACUUUGAGUAAAUUAGAGUGUUCAAAGCAAGCCUACGCUCUGAAUACAUUAGCAUGGAAUAACACGAUAGGACUCUGGCUUAUCUUGUUGGUCUGUGAGACCAGAGUAAUGAUUAAGAGGGACAGUCGGGGGCAUUCGUAUUUCAUUGUCAGAGGUGAAAUUCUUGAAUUUAUGAAAGACGAACUUCUGCGAAAGCAUUUGUCAAGGAUGUUUUCAUUA